rnacentral:rRNA from 1 species
GGGGAAUAUUGGACAAUGGGGGGAACCCUGAUCCAGCCAUGCCGCGUGAGUGAAGAAGGUCUUAUGGUUGUAAAGCACUUUAAGCGCGGAGGCGGCUCGUUUGGUUCAUACCCAAGAUGAGUGGACGGUACUCCGAGAAUAAGCACCGGACAACUCUUUGCCAGCAGCCGCGGUAAUACAGAGGGUGCGAGCGUUAAUCGGAUUUACUGGGCGUAAAGCGUGCGUAGGCGGCUUUUUAAGUCGGAUGUGAAAUCCCCGAGCUUAACUUGGGAAUGGCAUUCGAUACUGGGAAGCUAGAGUAUGGGAGAGGAUGGUAGAAUUCCAGGUGUAGCGGUGAAAUGCGUAGAGAUCUGGAGGAAUACCGAUGGCGAAGGCAGCCAUCUGGCCUAAUACUGACGCUGAGGUACGAAAGCAUGGGGAGCAAACA